CCUACGUGUGGCAGCAGUGAGGAAUAUUGGUCAAUGGGCGCGAGCCUGAACCAGCCAAGUAGCGUGAAGGAUGACUGCCCUACGGGUUGUAAACUUCUUUUAUAAAGGAAUAAAGUGAGGCACGUGUGCCUUUUUGUAUGUACUUUAUGAAUAAGGAUCGGCUCACUACGUGCCAGCAGCCGCGGUAAUACGGAGGAUCCGAGCGUUAUCCGGAUUUAUUGGGUUUAAAGGGAGCGUAGAUGGGUUGUUAAGUCAGUUGUGAAAGUUUGCGGCUCAACCGUAAAAUUGCAAUUGAUACUGGCAGUCUUGAGUACAGUUGAGGUAGGCGGAAUUCGUGGUGUAGCGGUGAAAUGCUUAGAUAUCACGAAGAACUCCGAUUGCGAAGGCAGCUUACUAAACUGCCACUGACAUUGAUGCUCGAAAGUGUGGGUAUCAAACAGGAUUAGAUACCCCAGUAGUC
rnacentral:rRNA from 1 species